rnacentral:rRNA from 1 species
GGCGGACGGGUGAGUAACGCGUAAAGAACUUGCCCUUUAGACUGGGAUAACAGAGGGAAACUUCUGAUAAUACUGGAUAAGUUAGUAUAUCGCAUGAUAUGCAAAUGAAAGCUACGGCACUAAAGGAGAGCUUUGCGUCCUAUUAGCUAGUUGGUAAGGUAAGAGCUUACCAAGGCGAUGAUAGGUAGCCGGCCUGAGAGGGUGGACGGCCACAAGGGGGCUGAGAUACGGCCCUUACUCCUACGGGAGGCAGCAGAC